CAUCCCUCCAGAAAAUAUUAUGCCAGUCUCCUUUCUUAAAGACAACUGUAUCCUCUAUGAGCACUUCUCUACCUGACUUCAGGUAGGUAGGGAUGCAAACAAGAAUAUCACUCCAACACAUCAUCACUCGUAAGGAAUGGGGACCAACUCAUCAGCAUGAACUCAGUUGUCAACACCCUAGCUGGCCGCACUGGGGAAUCUGCACAGGAACCCAUUCCCAGCCCUGUUCAAGUCCUAGGGGAGUGGAAAUGCCACAGCCCUCUCUGCAAGCCCACACCCUCAGCCUCUCUGAUCCCCUUAGGGAAUCCCUGGUUUCUCUUCCACUGCCUGCCUGCGGUGAUGGUAACUGGACUAGAUCAGCUCUCCAACAAGACAUCACUUCCUUUUUCAUAGCCAUGCAAGCUUCUACUAAGAGGAAAUCUGGACACAGAGGGAAGAUGAUAUGAAGACACAGGGAGAAGACAGCCAUCUACAUACAGGCCAAAGAGAGAGGCCUGGAACAGAUCCUUCCUUCACAGCCCUCAGAAGGAACCAACCCUAUGACAUCUUGACUUCCAGAACUGAGAGAAAAUAAAUUUCCGUUGUGUAAGGCACCCAGUCUGUGUUACUCUGUUAUGGCAACCCUAGCAAAUUAAUAUAGUAUAUUUGACUCACUCUGCUCCUUAAUGCAGUAAAUGCAAAAAGCCUGAGGCAAAAAGAAACUGAGCUGUUUAAGGACCACCAAGGAGGGUAGCAACUAAAGAGAAGCAGGAAGGGAGAAAGUAGCAAAAGCUGAGCGGAAGAAGUUGGUGAGGGU
rnacentral:lncRNA from 1 species